rnacentral:rRNA from 1 species
UACGAAGGGGGCUAGCGUUGCUCGGAAUCACUGGGCGUAAAGCGCGUGUAGGCGGCCCACUAAGUCUGAUGUGAAAGCCCGGGGCUCACCCCCGGAAGUGCAUUGGAAACUGGUGGACUCGAGUCCCGGAGAGGAGAGUGGAAUUCCUGGUGUAGCGGUGAAAUGCGUAGAUAUCAGGAGGAACACCGGUGGCGAAGGCGGCUCUCUGGACGGUGACUGACGCUGAGACGCGAAAGCGUGGGGAGCAAACAGG